GAAGUCCGCUAGAGAUAGAAUUUGUUCGCGUACUCAGUGGUAAUUGUCUCCUAGGCCCGACGCCUGCAAACAAACCAGCGCAAGACCAUCUGGCCAAGCAACCGUGAGGAAUUCCAGCGAGAUGGCCAGAAAACUGCGAGGGCUGCUCUCACGUGAAUGCUGCUGAGUGCACGAGAGGCUCCGUGAAGUGCUACGUUUACGCGCGUCGUCUGCUCUUUUUAGCCGCCGCGUCGUCUGCUCACGCUUCAAGGCUACGCAGGCAGCUGCCGUUCCGGCUGCUUGACCGGCUGGUCCACAUAAAACCGACAAGGCACGCAGCUACGAGCACGUCCUUAUAUAAGCGCACAAUUUGCAGCUUAUUUCAUAUUUUUUUGUUGAGGGCGGGGCGCCAAAAGAGAGAAGGUAGCUGUAUGGCUCACUGGAGGGAAUAAUUGGGAUGGGUUUCUCCUCCUUUUUCGCUCAUAAGCCCACUAGUGCUAUUCACGCUAAAUUACGUGCUCAAGAGUGC
rnacentral:lncRNA from 1 species